rnacentral:rRNA from 1 species
AGCGAACGCUGGCGGCAGGCCUAACACAUGCAAGUCGAACGAACUCUUCGGAGUUAGUGGCGGACGGGUGAGUAACACGUGGGAACGUGCCGUUAGGUUCGGAAUAACUUAGGGAAACUUGCGCUAAUACCGAAUGCGUCGUUCGGGGGAAUGAUUCAGCGCCUUAAGAGCGGCCCGCGUCCGAUUAGGUAGUUGGCGAGGUAAGGGCUCACCAAGGCGUCGAUCAGUAGCUGGUCAGAGAGGAUGAGCAGCCACGUUGGGACUGGGACGCGGCCCAAACUCCUACGGGAGGGAGCAAUGGGGGAUCUUGCGAAAUUGGCGGAAGGAUGACGCAGCCAUGCCGGGUAAAUGAUGAAGGUCUUGGGAAUGUAAAAUUCUUUCACCGGGGACGAUAAUGACGGUACCCAGCGAGAAAGCCCCGGCUAACUUCGUG